UACGGGGGGAGCAAGCGUUGUUCGGAUUUACUGGGCGUAAAGGGCGCGUAGGCGGUCAGCACAAGUCAGUUGUGAAAUCUCCGGGCUUAACUCGGAAAGGUCAACUGAUACUGUGCGACUAGAGUGCGGAAGGGGCAACUGGAAUUCUCGGUGUAGCGGUGAAAUGCGUAGAUAUCGAGAGGAACACCUGCGGCGAAGGCGCUCUGCUAGGCCGCAACUGACACUGAGGGACGAAAGCUAGGGGAGCGAAUGGG
rnacentral:rRNA from 1 species